rnacentral:rRNA from 1 species
UCGGAACGUGCCAUUGAGUGGGGGAUAACGUAGCGAAAGUUGCGCUAAUACCGCAUAUUCUGUGAGCAGGAAAGCAGGGGACCGCAAGGCCUUGCGCUCUUUGAGCGGCCGAUGUCAGAUUAGCUAGUUGGCGGGGUAAUGGCCCACCAAGGCUCCGAUCGGUAGCCGGCCUGAGAGGGCGGACGGCCACACUGGAACUGAGACACGGUCCAGACUCCUACGGGAGGCAGCAGUGGGGAAUUUUUCGCAAUGGGCGCAAGCCUGACGAAGCAACGCCGCGUGGAGGAUGAAGGUCUUCGGAUUGUAAACUCCUGUCGACCGGGACGAAUGCACUCGACCUAAUACGUCGGAAUGUUGACGGUACCGGUGGAGGAAGCCACGGCUAACUCUGUG